rnacentral:rRNA from 1 species
GACGAACGCUGGCGGCGUGCCUAAUACAUGCAAGUCGAGCGGACGGAUGGGAGCUUGCUCCCAGACCGUCAGCGGCGGGCGGGUGAGUAACACGUGGGCAACCUGCCUGUAAGACUGGGAUAACUCCGGGAAACCGGGGCUAAUACCGGAUAACUCUUUCCCUCACAUGAGGGAAAGCUGAAAGAUGGCAUCUCGCUAUCACUUACAGAUGGGCCCGCGGCGCAUUAGCUAGUUGGUGAGGUAACGGCUCACCAAGGCGACGAUGCGUAGCCGACCUGAGAGGGUGAUCGGCCACACUGGGACUGAGACACGGCCCAGACUCCUACGGGAGGCAGCAGUAGGGAAUCUUCCGCAAUGGACGAAAGUCUGACGGAGCAACGCCGCGUGAGUGAUGAAGGUUUUCGGAUCGUAAAACUCUGUUGUCAGGGAAGAACAAGUACCGGAGUAACUGCCGGUACCUUGACGGUACCUGACCAGAAAGCCACGGCUAACUACGUG